GAUGAAGAACGCAGCGAAAUGCGAUAAGUAGUGUGAAUUGCAGAAUUCAGUGAAUCAUCGAAUCUUUGAACGCACAUUGCGCCCCUUGGUAUUCCAUGGGGCAUGCCUGUUCGAGCGUCAUUUGUACCUUCAAGCCUGGCUUGGUGUUGGGCGACGUCCUCUUUGGGGACGCGCCUCGAAACGCUCGGCGGCGUGGCACCGGCUUUAAGCGUAGCAGAAUCUUUCGCUUUGGAAGUCGGGGCCCCGUCUGCCGGAAGACCUGCUCGCAAGGUUGACCUCGGAUCAGGCAGGGAUACCCGCUGAACUUAAGCAUAUCAAUAAGCGGAGGA
rnacentral:misc_RNA from 1 species